CCUGGUAGGAAACAUAAUCAUGCUCAAACUAUGAAUUAACACAAAUGGUACAGCACAAAAAAGGAGGUAAACAAAACUACAGUGAUAUGUUUAUCAGAUGAAUUCUAAGCUGUACAACAGAAAACUUUACGUCUUCAAGUAAAAACUCAAUGACACAAAGUCAUCACCUCUGAGUCAUUCCUCUUUCUAUAAUCAAAUAACCUCCAACUUUUGAGCAUCAUU
rnacentral:misc_RNA from 1 species